GGCGGCAUGCUUAACACAUGCAAGUCGAACGGUAACAGGCCCUUCGGGGUGCUGACGAGUGGCGGACGGGUGAGUAAUGCGUAGGGAUCUGCCUAGUGGUGUGGGAUAACCUAGGGAAACUUAGGGUAAUACCGCAUAAGCCUCACGAGGUAAAGCCGGGGACCGAAAGGCCUGGCGCUGCUAGAUGAACCUACGUCGGAUUAGCUAGUUGGUAGGGUAAAGGCCUACCAAGGCGAUGAUCCGUAGCUGGUUUGAGAGGACGACCAGCCACACUGGGACUGAGACACGGCCCAGACUCCUACGGGAGGCAGCAGUGGGGAAUAUUGGACAAUGGGCGAAAGCCUGAUCCAGCAAUGCCGCGUGAGUGAUGAAGGCCUUAGGGUUGUAAAGCUCUUUUACCCGGGAAGAUAAUGACUGUACCGGGAGAAUAAGCCCCGGCUAACUCCGUGCCAGCAGCCGCGGUAAUACGGAAGGGGCUAGCGUUGUUCCGGAAUUACUGGGCGUAAAGCGCACGU
rnacentral:rRNA from 1 species